rnacentral:tRNA from 1 species
UAUAGCUCACUGGUAGAGCAUUUGCCUGAUAUUCAUGAGGUCUUAGGUUCAAUCCCUGGUA